rfam:Nitrosomonas communis strain Nm2, complete genome.
GGAGGAAGGCCCUCCGGAAUCACCUUACAGGAGGAGGUUUCAAACCACCUUAAGCGGCUCUUGUCAAAAGCCUGGGUCGUGAGCGUUAAGGAAAAGGCACUUUUGAAAGUGUCAGGU